AUGGCUGCCGCGCCGCCGCUACGGGACCGCCUGAGCUUUCUACACCGGCUGCUCCUGGCCCCUUCGCCCGCGCCGACGCCCCUGAGCUGCCCGCCCGCCCCGCCGUCCCGGGGCCUUCCAAGCCGGACCCGCCGAGCGCAAGGGCGAUGGGCACAGCCAGACCCUGGGGGGAACGAACAGGCCUUGGCCAGCAUUCAGUGGCCUCCGACGGGAGGGAAGGAGCGGCGGACCCGGUGGACGUGGAGCCGCUGUGUCCGUGCUGCUGGCGCCCAGGUGGGCUGGCAGCCCGCCGUCCUCCCUGACGGUGUCAUUUCAGAGGACUCCGGUCCUGGAGAGGCACCUCUGGGUUGCAGAGAACACAGACAUCUCGAAGGGACAGAGAAGGACGCACCAUUGUAAGCCCCUCUUAGUAAACCCUCUGAGAAGUAGAGGCCAGGGCGAGUUCCCAGGUGUCGUCCUGAGCAAACGGCCCUCUUUUGUCAGCCCUGAGCUUUUCUAGGCUGGACUUCAGAGGGGGCUGGGUGGUCCCAGGGCGUGACCCUGGGCUGCCAGAAGCCACGCUAGGGUUGGUCAAGGCUCUCAGUGCAAGGUUUGGACAGAGUCGUUCUGUGCUGCGUUCUGCAGUUGUCAGCUGUCACCUGCAAACCUCACUAGCUCCCCUUAGGGCUUGGUGGGCAAAUAGUGUCAGUGAUGUGUG
rnacentral:sRNA from 1 species